AUAACUUUUUGCCUCCUCGAGAUCUUCCGUCAGCGUCUCUAUCUCAAGUUUCAGGUCUUCCAACAACUUAUUCUUCUCACUAUCUUCUUUUCUCAAUCCCUCGAUCUCAAGUUUCAGUUUUUCCAACAACUUGUUCUUCUCACCGUCAUCUUUUCUCAAUGCCUCAGUCGCAAGUUUCAGAUUUUCUAACAAAAUAUUCUUCUCAUCAUCUCCUUUCCUCAGUGCCUCUUUCUCAAGUUCCACAUUUUCCAACAACUUAUUCUUCUCACCAUCUUCUUUUCUCAGAGCCUCCAUCUCGAGUUUCAGAUUUUCCAACAACUUAUUCUUCUCACUAUCUUCUUUUCUC
rnacentral:lncRNA from 1 species